CAGUCGCCGCGGGAAAACGUAGGGUGCGAGCGUUAAUCGGAAUUACUGGGCGUAAAGCGUGCGCAGGCGGACUAAUAAGUCAGGGGUGAAAUCCCAAGGCUCAACCUUGGAACUGCCUUUGAUACUGUUUGUCUUGAGUUCGAGAGAGGUAAGUGGAACUGCGAGUGUAGAGGUGAAAUUCGUAGAUAUUCGCAAGAACACCAGUGGCGAAGGCGGCUUACUGGCUCGAAACUGACGCUGAGGCGCGAAAGCGUGGGGAGCGAACAGGAUUAGAUACCCCCGUAGUCCCUGUCUCUUAUAC
rnacentral:rRNA from 1 species